rnacentral:rRNA from 1 species
CCGUCCAAACGUUAUUCGGUAUCACUGGGCUUAAAGCGUGCGUAGGCGGCUUGGUAGGUGAGAUGUGAAAGCCCACGGCUCAACCGUGGAAUUGCGUUUCAAACCCCCAAGCUCGAGGAAGAUAGGGGUGAUGGGAACUUAUGGUGGAGCGGUGAAAUGCGUUGAUAUCAUAGGGAACACCGGUGGCGAAAGCGCAUCACUGGAUCUUUUCUGACGCUGAGGCACGAAAGCUAGGGUAGCGAACGGGAUUAGAUACCCCGGUAGUCCUAGCCGUAAACGAUGAACACUGGGUUGAGGGGACUUCCACAUCCUCUCGGCCGUAGCGAAAGCGUUAAGUGUUCCGCCUGGGGAGUAUGGUCGCAAGGCUGAAACUCAAAGGAA